rnacentral:rRNA from 1 species
CUACGGGGCGCUCCAGUAAGGAAUAUUGGUCAAUGGGCGCGAGCCUGAACCAGCCAUCCCGCGUGCAGGAUGACGGCCCUAUGGGUUGUAAACUGCUUUUCUAUGCCAAGAAACCCUGUUACGAGUAACAGGUUGCCGGUAGCAUAGGAAUAAGCAUCGGCUAACUCCGUGCCAGCAGCCGCGGUAAUACGGAGGAUGCAAGCGUUAUCCGGAUUCAUUGGGUUUAAAGGGUGCGCAGGUGGGCUUGUAAGUCAGUGGUGAAAUGCUGCCACUUAACGGUAGAACUGCCAUUGAUACUGCGAGUCUUGAGUAUGGUGGAGGUAGGCGGAAUGUGUUGUGUAGCGGUGAAAUGCAUAGAUAUGACACAGAACGCCAAUUGCGAAGGCAGCUUACUAAGCCAUUACUGACGCUGAGGCACGAAAGCGUGGGGAGCGAACAGGAUUAGAUACCCUCGUAGUC